ensembl:lncRNA
GAAACACCGUGUUCAGAUAGAUCCACAGCUUUAAGGCUCCUGAUCAGGCACUUCUCGUUUUUUCAUCUUACAUAUCAAUUUCUUUGCUCCAUCUUGUUGUCUCACUUAAAUAAAUAGAUCACACCUGUGCCCCUCUCGACUGUCUCAUGUGUUAAUCAUUCUCUUCAUCUUUAUCCCAGGUUUAGCCUAGAUCUCUUUGGGUCAGUUCCCUUUCUGUUUUUGUUGAAGGUUUUUUAAAUCAUCCCCGCCCUGUAAAAUGCUUUUACAGAAAAAUAUUAUGAAGAAUGAAAAACUAUGCUGGUUACCCUCUGACCCUCAGAAUUCCUUCACUGCAUUUGUGUGCUGUGAAAAACUGGUUUCUAUGGACCACAUCUCCCAGGCUCCUUUGCCCUUUGGUUUCUGUUCGGUUUCAGCCAGUUUGGAGGCAUUGGCAGAUGAUCAGAGGAAGGAAAGAGAGAGAGGUCAGGAUAUUAAUUUCACCUUCCCCCACACGCCCUCCUGCCUGUCUGUGGCUUUUGGCAGAAACUUCAUUCCUCUACCUAAGGCCAUGGCUCGGAUCAGACAGUCCUGUCCCAUGGCUACAGGUCUUGCUGGAAUCAGACCUGCUGGCCAGAGUCCCGUCAGGUUAAGGAAGGCACACCAACAAGAUUAGAGGAGCCUGAGUCCCUGACGCCACAGGAAAGCUUGUAACUUCUGCCUCCACGUCUCUGUUACAGAGACAAGUCAACCGAAAUCUUUUUUCAGCUGCUGUUGUCUCGGGUUUUCUGUCACAUGCAGCCAAAGUUAAUCCUGUUUGGUGUAGGUGCUGGGUGAGGCUAUAAAUGCCUAAUUUUGUCCCCAGCCUCAAGAAGCUUGCAGGAUUGUGGGAUAAACAAGUUGACAAAGAGGCUGCUGCACAAAUGUCUGUGAGAGACACCUAAAGUCACCUGGAGUCAAGGAAGUCUGGAAGAAGUGAUGAAAUUUGUCAGGAGGAGGAGAGAAGUGUGUUAAAGACGAAAGUCACAACAUAGGCAGAAAUCUCCAGAUGAAAGUACUGUAUUGUGGAGCAGAGGUGGGGGGAGGUGGCAAGUCCAGUAGAAUGAAUGCAUCGAAUAACAAAACUCACAUGUUCCAGAAGAGGCUGCAGAGGUGGGUGGGCAGGAAACAGAUCCUAUGAAGAUGCUAAGGUUUUACAGUGACGAGUUGGAGCCAUGGAAAGGUUUUUUUUUAAAUCAAAAGUGUCCAUGUUGUACAUGAUGUUAAUUAGUCUUCUGGGUGUGGGGGAUGAGGGGGUGAGCAGAACAGCAAACAUCAAGAGAAUUUUAAAAGUUUUUUUUUUUCCUCUUGAAUAAUCAUUUACAAAGGAAUAACUGAGCAAGUAAAAGCAAUACAGGCUGUGACUAUCCAAACGAAGCACAGAUGAAAGGUAACAUUUCCAGAUUAUAUUAACAAGUAGUAUAAUAAUAUGAAAAGCAAUGUAAAGCAUAAUUAUCAUUUCUAAUGUAAACAUCAUAUAUAGUGUUUAUAUUAGUAGUAGAGUUGUUUCAGGUUAUACAUUCUUGCAGUGGUCUUACUAGCUCCUAAUACUGCCUUAGUACAUGGUAGGACCUCAAAAUUAUGUAUUAAAUGAAUAAAUAGUUUUUGAAAGGUUCUCCGAUGUAUCUUUUAAUACUUGCUUUUUUCCCCACUAUCACAUUUACUACAGCCCAACUCAUAAAAGCUCACAUCCUCUCCAUUCAAAUCCUGGUGUCUUCCAGGUUACCUCACAUAUUCUCAGGAAGGCAGGUCGGUUUUCUUUCCCUAGUUUUCACC